rnacentral:rRNA from 1 species
AUUGAACGCUGGCGGCAGGCCUAACACAUGCAAGUAGAACGAGUGGCGGACGGGUGCGUAAUGUCUGGGAAACUGCCUGAUGGCGGGGAGUAAGUACUGAAAACGGUAGCUAAUACCGCAUACCAUCGAUUGUGCCCAGAUGGGAUUAGCUAGUUGGUGGGGUAAAGGCUCACCUAGAAGACGAUCCCUAGCUGGUCUGAGAGGAAGACCAGCCACCUUGGAACUGAGACACGGUCCAGACUCCUACGGGAGGCAGCAGUGGGGAAUAUUGCACAAUGGGCGCAAGCCUGAUGCAGCCAGGCGGCGUGGAUGAAGAAGGCCUUCGGGUUGUAAAGUCCUUUCAGCGGGGAGGCGGUACCCGCAGAAGAAGCACCGGCUAACUCCGUGCCAGCAGCCGCGGUAAUUC